AAUUAACAAGGCCCAAUUUGCUAUUUGGCAGAUCUCAACACUGUAGAAGCUGACCAUUUGAAAUGCAUCGUAUGGUCAAUGUCUUCGAAGAACAAUGGAACAGGAAGGCAAUGGAUGGAUAAUGUGUUUAAAGUCUUCAUGGAGCAUAAAAAUACUUGCUGUCAACAUUGCCAUUCCUGGUCUCUGUUCAUCAACGCCCCCCAUCUUAAGCCACUCCACAGGAACUAUGAAUCUUCAUUUCUUGCUGUCUUUCAAGUCCUGAUUUGUGUUUAGACACUAAGCUUACGUUAAACUGGAAACCUUAGUAAACAUUUCUUGCAGUAUAUUUAAAUUUUGAGAUUCAGAAAU
rnacentral:lncRNA from 1 species